CUACCCUAACAACACACAACAUUCCAGGAAUGUACUACCAAAGUUCUAUCAAUAUUUGAAUGUCCUGGACAUUUAGGGAACAUUCGGUGAACAUCUGUUUAAAUUAUUCCUGGAAUGUUACCAUAAGACAUUCUGUGAACAUACUACCAAUGUUCCUAUAUUUUAAGUUGCGAAAUAAUACAUACGUGUAACAGAUACAACAUUACUUAUAACAUACCAGACAAACUAAGUGACACUUUAGGCCUACAGUGCAAUAAUAUGUCAAAUUUAAAGAGUUUCCCAAGUUCAAUUAAUACAAUAUUAUAAACAUACAAAUGUAAUAAAAAUUAUUGUUCGCGAAUAUUCAAUUUGGAAUGCAAUUUUGUUAAUAAAAAAAAUACUUAUAACUUAUGCAAAACCCAAGAGAGGCAUUUAUAUUUAUUUCUUUUGCGUUCAUUUUCAAAUUCGCCGUGCAUAUAUUUUUGUGCAUGGCGCUUGAGAGGGCAUCACGUGACUAAAAACGACCAACCAACGACCUCGCUUCGGCCAUCUUGGCAUCUUCAUCUUGGCCACCUUGCUUUGCCGUGGGUGGAUCGUUGUAGCGUAUUAUUUGUGCUUUUUAAGAAUAUUUUUUUAAUUCGGAUACUUUUAUAAUAGCUUUAAUAGUAUUAUUAACAUAGUGAAUAAAAUGGUGUCCUGUUUUUAACGCAGUUGGAGUAGCAGAAACAAAUGUAGAUAAAAAAAUCUGCAGGAAUAACGUUUCAAUUAUGACAGAAGCUCCAAACAAAUGACUGUGAAUGAAAAGCCCUAUUAAAAGCUUUCCAGAAGAUCCUGCGAAGAAGACAUGAAGUAUAGAUCAGAUUUGUUAAUAGAGGAGUAUGUUCAAAACACUUUUUAGAAAAAGAUAUUGACAGAACUUCACUUUCAUCUGUUCGUUUAAGAGACUGUGCUGUUCCAAUAGCUUAUGUCACACAGAAUCAGCUGAGAGAAGUGGUCUACAAAAAACCAGAAAGGAAACGGAAUAUGUGGCUACGAAAAGCAAAAGAAAGGUUUACAAAGCAAAUGUGACACAUUUUUUUAUAAUAUUUAGGAAUGUCAGUAAAUUACAUUAAAAAAUGUAUGUAAAGAUUUUUUGCAAUAAAAAUGUUUAUAUUUA